rnacentral:rRNA from 1 species
AGUGGACGCUGGCGGUAGGCCUAACACAUGCAAGUCGAACGGCAGCACAGUAAGAGCUUGCUCUUACGGGUGGCGAGUGGCGGACGGGUGAGGAAUACAUCGGAAUCUACUUUUUCGUGGGGGAUAACGUAGGGAAACUUACGCUAAUACCGCAUACGACCUACGGGUGAAAGCAGGGGAUCUUCGGACCUUGCGCGAUUGAAUGAGCCGAUGUCGGAUUAGCUAGUUGGCGGGGUAAAGGCCCACCAAGGCGACGAUCCGUAGCUGGUCUGAGAGGAUGAUCAGCCACACUGGAACUGAGACACGGUCCAGACUCCUACGGGAGGCAGCAGUGGGGAAUAUUGGACAAUGGGCGCAAGCCUGAUCCAGCCAUACCGCGUGGGUGAAGAAGGCCUUCGGGUUGUAAAGCCCUUUUGUUGGGAAAGAAAAGCAGCAGGUUAAUACCCCGCUGUUCUGACGGUACCCAAAGAAUAAGCACCAGCUAACUUCGUG